rnacentral:rRNA from 1 species
CCUAAAGCGUUCGUAGCCGGUUUGGUAAAUUCUUGGGUAAAUCGUACCGCUUAACGGUGCGGAUUCCGGGGACACUACCAGACUUGAGACCGGGGGAGAUCAGAGGUACUUGCGGGGGAGCGGUGAAAUGUUGUAAUCCCGCAGGGACCACCAGUGGCGAAGGCGUCUGAUCAGAACGGCUCUGACGGUGAGGAACGAAACCCUGGGGCGCAAACGGGAUUAGAUACCCCGGUAGUCCAGGGCGUAAACGCUGCUGACUUGGUGUUGGGGAUCCUACGAGGAUGUCCAGUGCUGGCGCGAAGGUAUUAAGUCAGCCGCCUGGGGAGUACGGUCGCAAGACUGAAACUUAAAGGAAUUGGCGGGGGAGCACUGCAACGUGUGGAGCGUGCGGUUUAAUUGGAUUCAACGCCGGAAAACUCACCGGGGGCGACGGUUACAUGAAGGCCAAGCUGAUGACUUUGCCUGAUUUUCCGAGAGGUGGUGCAUGGCCGCCGUCAGUUCGUACCGUAAGGCGUUCUGUUAAGUCAGAUAACGAACGAGACCUCCGUCACCAUUUGCUAUUCCUCUCUCCGGAGGGGGAGCACUAUGGUGGUACCGCCACUGUUAAAGUGGAGGAAGGAGGGGGCAACGGUAGGUCAGUAUGCCCCGAAUCUCCCGGGCUACACGCGCGCUACAAAGGGCAGGACAAUGGGCUUCGACACCGAAAGGUGGAGGCAAUCCCGAAACCUGCUCGUAAUUCGGAUUGAGGGCUGCAAUUCGCCCUCAUGAAGCUGGAAUACGUAGUAAUCGCGGGUCAACAUCCCGCGGUGAAUAUGCCCCUGCUCCUUGCACACACCGCCCGUCAAACCACCUUAGUUGGGUCUGGACGAGGGUUUGUCUUCUGACACGCUCGAAUCUGGGUUCAGCGAGGAGGGUUAAGUCGUAACAAGGUAUCCGUA